CAUGGAGUACUGAAGCAAUACACCUGUCCGGGCUGUUGCCACACCACUCCACUGCAAUGCAUGCAAGAGUGGUCCGGAGGUGUCAAAAGGCCAGGGACCGUGACUUUUAAGGUGACCCGGAGCUCUCUGACAAUGAGGGACCCCUAUUUGCUAUGGUAACGAGUGGUGGUGGAUGAACCUUCUGGAUAGAUUGAGUUGAUUCAAAGGGGGUGUAGCAGAUCCCAUAACUCUUUCGCAAAGGAACUCUUUCGCAAAGGACUCCGGUAGGAUACUCUUGUGCUUAUUCGGCGGGAGGAGGCUAUCGAGGAGUUGGUUCUUUUUGAGCCAGAAUGGAUCCCCGGUUUCCAUGACUGAAUGCAGAGCUUUCUGAUGUUGAUGAUACUGCAUCAGGAACUGAUUGGAUGAUGUCGAUGGGCCAUCAGUUCUUGAUGCAUUGCCUUCAGCAUUGAAAAAAACACCACACAGUAUGUUGCUCUUUAAAAAUAUGAUUUUCUAGUUUUUUCCAUGUAUGUUGUCCUGUAAUUCAUGUAAAAAAUAACAAUAAUUCAAAAUACUGUAAUUGAGCAUUUUAUGUUUCGUAAACUUGAAUGAAUAAGCAUUUUUAAAUGUUUAGUCACGUUUAUAAAUGUUUACAAAUAAAUCUGGAAUUGUUUAUGAGUAGUUUAACUCUUGAUUCUAGCCAUCCCGGAUCCGGGAUCGUGAAUACAGCCUCAAGCUCAUUACCAUAACGCAACGUUAACUAUUCAUGAAAAUCGCAAAUGAAAUGAAAUAAAUAUAUUUGCUCUCAA